rnacentral:rRNA from 1 species
GGUGAACGCUGGCGGUAGGCCUAACACAUGCAAGUCGAACGGCAGCACAGAGGAGCUUGCUCCUUGGGUGGCGAGUGGCGGACGGGUGAGGAAUACAUCGGAAUCUACUCUGUCGUGGGGGAUAACGUAGGGAAACUUACGCUAAUACCGCAUACGACCUACGGGUGAAAGCAGGGGAUCUUCGGACCUUGCGGGAUUGAAUGAGCUGAUGUCGGAUUAGCUAGUUGGCGGGGUAAAGGCCCACCAAGGCGACGAUCCGUAGCUGGUCUGAGAGGAUGAUCAGCCACACUGGAACUGAGACACGGUCCAGACUCCUACGGGAGGCAGCAGUGGGGAAUAUUGGACAAUGGGCGCAAGCCUGAUCCAGCCAUACCGCGUGGGUGAAGAAGGCCUUCGGGUUGUAAAGCCCUUUUGUUGGGAAAGAAAUCCAUCUGGUUAAUACCCGGGUGGGAUGACGGUACCCAAAGAAUAAGCACCGGCUAACUUCGUGCCAGCAGCCGCCGCCG